CUUUUAAAAUACAAUUUAAAAUAGUUUACACUUAAACAGUUUACAUACCUGGUGAAUAAAAUACAAUGAUGUUUCAAUUAUUUAUUCCAAAACAGCUAUCUACAUUUAAGUGUGAUAUGUGAUGUUGGGAGGUUGCGGUCUUCCCUUUUUAACCCCAACAUCACGUGCUGAUUGGAAUUAUUUUAUUCACCUAUGAAAUUUAAGCGUCAAUUUUGAAUUUUCUAAAGUUACUUUUUAUUGGUCAAAUAUUCUCUUUUUAUGUUAUAGAUUUAUAUGAUUGACAUAUAUUUAUUUAGUUACGUAAAAGCAAUUAAAGGAUUAUCAAAAUCUUUACUUACUUUACAGAAUUAUUAAGUGGACAAUAGAAACACU
rnacentral:lncRNA from 1 species